rnacentral:rRNA from 1 species
ACACGUAGGGAGCAAGCGUUGUCAGGAUUUAUUGGGCGUAAAGAGCUCGUAGGCGGUUUUGUAAGUCGGAUGUGAAAACUCAGGGCUCAACCCGGAGACGCCAUCCGAUACUGCAAUGACUAGAGUCCGGUAGGGGAGCAUGGAAUUCCUGGUGUAGCGGUGGAAUGCGCAGAUAUCAGGAGGGACACCAGUGGCGAAGGCGGUGCUCUGGGCCGGUACUGACGCUGAGGAGCGAAAGCAUGGGGAGCAAACAGGAUUAGAUACCCUGGUAGUCC